rnacentral:rRNA from 1 species
CCCUUAGAUGUUCUGGGCCGCACGCGUGCUACACUGAGUGGAUCAGCGGGUCAGGUUGCGCGAAAGUGUUUCCUAAUCUUUAAAUCCGCUCGUGAUGGGGAUUGACGGUUGCAAUUUUCCGUCAUGAACGAGGAAUACCUUGUAAGCGCGGGUCAUCAUCCCGCGCUGAAUACGUCCCUGCCCUUUGUACACACCGCCCAUCGCUCCUACCGAUUGAGUGGUCCGGUGAGGCUUUGGGAUCUGAGCGGAAAGAGCGUUUCGCUGUUUCUGCCCGGAAAACUCAGUCGAACCUUAUCAUUUAGAGGAAGGAGAAGUCGUAACA